rnacentral:rRNA from 1 species
GAUGAACGCUAGCUACAGGCUUAACACAUGCAAGUCGUGGGGCAGCAUGAAGGAAGCUUGCUUCCUUUGAUGGCGACCGGCGCACGGGUGAGUAACGCGUAUCCAACCUUCCCCUUACUAGGGGAUAGCCCGGCGAAAGUCGGAUUAAUACUCUAUGUUCUCCUUUGCAGGCAUCUAAUGAGGAGCAAAGAUUCAUCGGUAAGGGAUGGGGAUGCGUCUGAUUAGGCAGACGGCGGGGUAACGGCCCACCGUACCGACGAUCAGUAGGGGUUCUGAGAGGAAGGUCCCCCACAUUGGAACUGAGACACAGUCCAAACUCC